rnacentral:lncRNA from 1 species
CUGGAUUGGUACAUUUGGGUCCCUAAUGCACCCUGCACGAUGUGGCUGCCAACCACCAAGGAUGCAACACUGCCCAACUUUCCAGAUGUCCUCUCCAGAUGUCCAUCAGUUGGCAGCUGAGCAGACACCAGCCCAUUAUGGUGGCUGUGAGCCAGCAUAAGAAGGAGUAUUUUUCGGGCCCUCAGCCUAAGGCUGUGCUGAAGAAGUUCAGGGAGGAGCUGGCUGCCCUGGAUGAGGAACUGAGAUCUGGAAUGCUACACGGGACAUGCCCUAUGAAUACCUGCGGCCCAGCCCGGUGGAAAACAGUGUGGCUAUCUGAGUGUCACCAGCCUUUGGUUAUUUCAGUCGCCCUCCACCCAAGCCACAGUUCUACCCCCAGGUGGUUUCAGUCCUACCCUCCCAAGCCCCACACUUUUCUCAUGUCCCACCCUCCCUAAAGGGACACCUUUUCAUGGUCUCUGCACCCAGUGAACACAUUUUACUCUAGAGGCAGCACCUGGGGCCUUAUUCCUCCCUCCUCCCUCCCUCCUUUCCUAUAUAUUCCUUCCUCCCUGUCUUCCUCCUUCUUCAGAUCUAGAGGGCAAAUAACAGCCACAAUUAUAUAAACCAUUUCAAGGAUCGAAUAGGGAGAUAAUACAUAUUAUUCCACACCUUUUAUGAAUCAUAUGUGAUUUUUUUUGAGACAGGGUGUCACUCUGUUGUCCAGGCUGGAGUGCAGUGGUGCCAUCACCUUAGCUCACUACAGCCUCAACCUCCUGGGCUCAAGUGAUCCUCCCACCUCAGCCUCAGCCUCCUGAGUAGCUGGGACUACAGGCUCAUGCCACCAUGCCCAGCUAAUAUUUUUUUUUGUAGAGACAGGUCUCACUAUGUUGCCUGGGCUGGAAAUAUGAUUUUGAACCCAAAUUCAGUUUAACAAUAACAAAAAGAUAUUUUAGACUAAUGAUAGAAAAGAACUAGAACUGAAUUAUUUUAGAUAAAAUAUUGGCAAAAGAAUAUAGAGCAUCAGAAACAUUUAUCUGGGUUCACAUGCUUGAUGUGGUAAAGAAUACAAAAGUUUUUAAAAAUUAAAAAAAAAUUGGCUGGGUGCGGUGGCUCACGCCUGUAAUCCCAGCACUUUGGGAGGCCAAGGCGGGUGGAUCACGAGAUCAGGAGAUUGAGACCAUCUUGGCUAACAUGGUGGAACCCCGUCUCUACUAAAAAUACCAAAAGUUAGCUGGGCAUGGUGGCAGGCACCUGUAGUCUCAGCUACUCGGGAGGCUGAGGCAGGAGAAUGGCAUGAACCCGGGAGGCGGAGCUUGCAGUAAGCCAAGAUCACACCACUGCACUCCAGCCUGGGUGACAGAGUGAGACUCUGUCUCAAAUAAAUAAAUACAUACAUAAAUAAAUACAAAUUAAAAAAUUCUCUUUCUAACUAUAUAGGAUCUAACUUGUGUCCUGAAGCCAGACACACUACAAAGCAAACCAUUAAGACAGUGAGUCCCAAGAAUUUUUGACUCGAGAUUUUCAUGUAAUGGCUCACUUAGAAAAUACUGAAGGAAAGUCAGCUGGUUGAACUGAAGAAGCUGCUCCUGGCUGGAGAUACUCGGCAUCAGAACUUCAGCCUCAUGCAUCCAUACCUUAACCCCUCUGCAGUUCACCAGCUGGGAAGCUCCCAAUUAAUAACAUUAAGUGGAAAAAGACUAAAAAUUUCAUUAUUACCAAAAUGAGUACAACAAGGCAUUCAAUGAACUCUAACUUCUGUAUUUCAUUAAGAUUUUGGGAAAAUAAACUUGGAAGUUUUAUUUCUUAAUAUGAUAAUCUGUGGGUAUUUUAAAACAGAAACUAAGAGUACACACAAACCAAAAGUGUUCCCUUUAUAAUACAGUAAAGAUGCUUCUUGCCUCUGAUUCUAUUUAAUUCCACAGAAGACAUACUGGUGAUGCUUGGUCUGCUUUUUUUUUUUUCUAAAAAGAAACAGUCUCACUUAGUCACCCAGGCUGGAGUGUUGUGGCCCAAUCAUAGUUCACGGCAGCCUGGAACUCCUGGGCUCAAGCAAUCCUCCUGCCUUGGCCUUCCAAAGUGCUGGGAUUGCAGGAAUGUUGGUCUUAUUAUUUUGUUUGUUUGUUUGUUUGAGACAAGGUCUUGCUCUGUUGCCCAGGCUGGGGUACAGGCAUGACCAUGGCUCACUGCAGCCUUAACCUCCCAGGCUCAGGCGAUCCUCUCACCUCAGCCUCCCAAGUAGCUAGAACCACAGGCACAUGCCAUCAUACCUGGCUAAUUUUUUUAAAUUAAAUUUUUGUAGAGAUGGGGUCUCCCCAGGCUGGUCUCAAACUCCUGGGCUCAAGCGAUCCUCCUGUCUUGGCAUCCCAAAGUGCUGGCACUGUAGGCAUGAGCCACUGUGCCUGUCUGGUCUGAUUCUUGAAGGAGGAAUUGGAAAUGAAUAGUAGAGAGGUGGGGGCAGAGUUUAACACUGGAAUCUAGGAGAAUCUGCAAAGAGGCAAGAGAGUGUGGUAGGAUCUCCACACCAGAAACGAAACAGUAAUCCAGCCUGGGGAGUGAUGCGGUGGGGCGCAGGGCCUACGAGAGGUCUUGUGGCAAAGCGGGGAAGAGUUUGUUUCAUGAUGUCAGGUGAUUAGACUUGACCUUUGGGAAACAGCCAUGGAAAGGUUUUAAGUAAGAGCAUGUUUAGGGUCCUGGAAGACAAAUUCGCAGAGGCACCUCCUUCUUCUUGGAGCCCACACCCUUUUUACAGGCCAUGCACCUCUCUUCGGGGUCACACCCUCUUUUCCUUGGGGGCCACAACCUCAUUCCUGGUUCCUUGUUCAGUACAUUCAUUGCAACAGACUUUCUCCUCAGUCCCUGACAGAGAAAAUUUCAACUCUCAUUGUUUUCUGGAAACAAAUCUUUUAGAGCCUCAGGUUUAUUACAGACAGACUUGCACGGGGAAAACUAAGACACAUGCUCUUCAGGUUCUCUAAUACAUGAAGCCAUGGCCCUUCCCUUCCAGUGAAGUUCCAGAAUAAAAAGUCAGGUGACAGAUAGUGAGCUACAUGAUUUUUGAUGAGUACAUUCAAUUUCUUUUUUUUUUUUCUCUUUGAGGUGGAGUCCCACUCUGUCACCUACGCUGGAGUGCAGUGGUGCGACAUCGGCUCACUGCAACCUCCCGGGUUCAAACAAUUCUCCCUGCCCCAGCCUCCUGAAUAGCUGGGAUUACAGGCACCUGCCACUACGCCUGGCUAAUUUUUGUAUUUUUAGUAGAGAUGGCGUUUCACCAUGUUGGCCAGGCUGGUCUUGAAUUCCUGACCUCAGGUGAUUCACCCGCCUCGGCCUCCCAAAGUGCUGGGAUUACAGGCAUGAGCCACCGCGCCCGGCCUCAAUUUCUUACAAUAGACUUAUUCUAACAAAUAUAUUUUCUUAUGACAAAUAGGUAGCCAAUAAAUGGAAAUUAUAGUAAGUUAUUGAAAACCAUAGGAAGCAUAGCCUCAAGGUGAUGGGUGGUAGAACAUGGAAGAUAACAAUAAACUUUUGUCAGAAUCGCUUAAGGGAAAUUCUUGCAAACAAGCCUCCAGUACACAAUUUCAAGAAGGAGCCUUCAUCCCAGCCUGGUUAGUGUUUAUAUUCUCAGUGUUUUCAAGGUAAAAGUUUGCAAAUAUUCCCAGCACUUUGGGAGGCCAAGCGGGGCAGAUCACCUGAAGUCAAGAGUUUGAGACCAGCCUGGCCAACAUGGUGAAACCCUGUCUCUACUAAAAAUACAAAAAAAUUAGCCAGGUGUGGUGGUGGGCACCUGUAAUCCCAGCUAAUUGGGAAGCUGAGGCAGGAGAAUUGCUUGAACCUGGGAGGCGGAGGUUGCAGUGAGCCGAGACUGCACCAUUGCACUCCAGCCUAGGCAACAAGAACGUGACUCCGUCUCAAAAACAAACAAAAAAGAGAGUUCCAGUUGUUCCACACCCUUGCCUAUGCUUGGGAUGGUGAAUCUUUUUAGUUUUGGCCAAUUAUGGCUGUGUAAGGACUAAUGAUGUUGAGCAUCUUUGCAUGUGUUUAUUACCAUUAUAAUAUAUUCUUGUGUAAAAUAUCCGUUCAAAUCUUUUUCCUAUUUUAAAUUGGGU